rnacentral:tRNA from 1 species
CGUCGACGUGGAACAGCCCCGAAUCGACGGCCUUCACCCGGCCGAGGUGGUUGCGCGCGAUCGUCGCGUUCGUCGGCGC